UUUCCGUAGGUGAACCUGCGGAAGGAUCAUUCAUAAUAAGUGUUUCAUGGUACUUUUUCAAUCCAUAUACUCCUUGUGAUCAAUGUCAGACGUUCUCUACUAUGGUAACGACCAAACAUCAAUCAACUCUUUAACUCUUUGUCUGAAAAAUAAUACAAAUUAAAUACUUCAAAAUACAACUUUCAACAACGGAUCUCUUGGCUCUC
rnacentral:misc_RNA from 1 species